rnacentral:rRNA from 1 species
GACGAACGCUGGCGGCGUGCUUAACACAUGCAAGUCGAACGGAAAGGCCCCUUUGGGGGUACUCGAGUGGCGAACGGGUGAGUAACACGUGAGUAACGUGCCCUUGACUUCGGGAUAACUUCAGGAAACUGGGGCUAAUACCGGAUAGGAAUCCUUGCUGCAUGGUGGGGGUUGGAAAGCUUCGGCGGUUUUGGAUGGACUCGCGGCUUAUCAGCUUGUUGGUGGGGUAGUGGCUUACCAAGGCUUUGACGGGUAGCCGGCCUGAGAGGGCGACCGGCCACAUUGGGACUGAGAGACGGCCCAGACUCCUACGGGAGGCAGAAGUGGGGAAUAUUGCACAAUGGGCGGAAGCCUGAUGCAGCAACGCCGCGUGCGGGAUGACGGCCUUCGGGUUGUAAACCGCUUUCAGCAGGGGCGAAGCUUGUGGUGACGGUACCUGCAGAAGAAGCACCGGCUAACUACGUG